rnacentral:lncRNA from 1 species
CCCGCGCUCCUCCGGGCAGAGCGCGUGUGGCGGCCGAGCACAUGGGCCCGCGGGCCGGGCGGGCUCGGGGCGGCCGGGACGAGGAGGGGCGACGACGAGCUGCGAGCAAAGAUGUGCCCCGGGACCCCCGGCACCUUCCAGUGGAUUUCCUUGCGGAAAGGAUGUUGGCGGUCCCUGUGACCUGUGGAGACACGGCCAGAUCUGCCCUCCAGCCUGAUCUUUUGGCCAGAAGGAGAUUAAAAAGAUGCCCCUCAAGAUGGCUGUGCCUGUCAGCUGCAUGGAGCUUCGUUCAAGUAUUUUCUGAGCCUGAUGGAUUUACAGUGAUCUUCAGUGGUCUGGGGAAUAACGCUGGUGGAACCAUGCACUGGAAUGACACACGCCCGGCACAUUUCAGGAUACUAAAAGUGGUUUUAAGGGAGGCUGUGGCUGAAUGCCUCAUGGAUUCUUACAGCUUGGAUGUCCAUGGGGGACGAAGGACUGCAGCUGGCUGAGAGGGUUGAGAUCUCUGUUUACUUAGAUCUCUGCCAACUUCCUUUGGGUCUCCCUAUGGAAUGUAAGACCCCGACUCUUCCUGGUGAAGCAUCUGAUGCACGUUCCAUCCGGCGCUCAGCUGGGCUUGAGCUGACCAUACUCCCUGGAGCCUUCUCCCGAGGUGCGCGGGUGACCUUGGCACAUACAGCCAUCAUGAUGGUACUUUAAGUGGAGGCUGAAUCAUCUCCCCUUUGAGCUGCUUGGCACGUGGCUCCCUUGGUGUUCCCCUUUUACUGCCAGGACACUGAGAUUUGGAGAGAAUCCUGUUACACCUGGGAUUUAGGCACUUUCAAUCUGAAAAAAUACAUAUCCUUUCAGCACUCUGGACGGACUUGAGAACUGUCCUUACGUGACCUAAAGCUGGAGUAUUUUGAGAUUGGAGAAUUAAGGCCUUCAGUGGGUUGAAUGAGGCCCAACCCACAUUGAAGAGGACCAUCUGCUUUACUCAGUCUCCUGGUUGAAGUGAUAAUCUCAUCUGGACAUACUCAGAAAUGCUGUUUAACCAGCUCUCUGGAAAUCCUGUGGCCCAGUCAAGUUGACACACAAAAUUAACCAUCACACUGCAGAGACACAGUCUAUCCCAAUACCUGUAUUUACUGGGUAACGUGCAUCUCAGCUCACCAGGCUGGUUUGAUUGACUUGGCCCAAAGCUGCCCUUUGAGUGUUGAGCCCCAGCUGACCCCUUUGAUCCUUCACAGCCCCAUCAUUAAAACAAGGACCCUGAAUCAAGUGACUAGUGUGGGCACCCUGGCUUCAAGCUCACGAGAAACCAGAAGGAAGUCACUGUGCAUAGCCAUCCCCUAAGAAGAGGGCAUUCCUGCUCUUCCUUCUCCAUGGCUAGAGGAUCUACAUGAACUAUUUAGAUUUUUUCUACCUGGGAGAUUUAACUCCUCUCUCCUAUUUAUUUAUUUAUAUAUCAGCAUGGACUUGCAGGCCAACAGAGAUUUUGAGAAACACAUUGAAGGAUCUGUUAACACUUGAUAUACCCAAUAAAAGCAGUGGUUGUGCCAGUGCUGAUCUGUCUUGAUGUGAAUGUGAACAAUGGGAACCUGAGCUGAGCAGUUAAUGCUAGGGUGACAGAAACUGGACCUCUCCCAAGACAUGUGACAGAGUAAUACAGCAGCCAACUUCUUCGCCAAAUUAAAGUUUUACAAGAUUUAACCUGUCAUCAAGACCUGGGAUUUUGGUGAGCCAGUCUUGGUGCUCUGUGUUCACCUGGUUCAUCUGAGGAGCUGCAUCUACCCUGCCCAUGCCAUAGAUCCUGCCCUGUUUGCUUCUCCUGUUGCUGCUAGUGGACAUGAGGUAACCACAGCCUAGUUCUGUGAUAAGCUCUUCACACCUGUACCCAUAUGGACUGUGGGAGAGUUUCUCUGAUAUGGACUGUGAUGCGGCAAAACUUUGUGGUUUCUGCUCUGAAUGUCAGGGUAACCCUGUCUGAGGAUGAUCACGGAUUUCAUUUUCCCUUGUUUGUUAGCGUUGCGGUCAGCCGCAAGUUGAAAACAAGGAACCAGCUUGAGAAGGACAGAAUAACGGGCUCCCAGAUUCACAAGCCCCACCAAGAGGAUCACCCCAGGAACGCUUGGAGGCUGAGGAGUUCACUGAGGCUACUGCAUCUUGAGACUCAGGAUGAAGACCCAGCUUGGGGCUGUCAAAGGUUUUUUGCAUGUCUGACACCCAUGACUCCACCUGGACCUUAUGGCUCCACCCAGAAGCAAUUCAGCCCAACAGGAGGACAGCUUCAACCCAUUACGAUUUCAUCUCUGCCCCAACCACUCAGCAGCAAGCACCUGUUACCUGUCCACCCCCACCCCUUCCCCCAAACUGCCUUUGAAAAAUCCCUAACCUAUGAGCUUUGAAUAAGAUGAGUACGAACUUCAUCGCCCACGUGGCGUGGCCGGCCUCGUGUCUAUUAAAUUCUUUUUCUACUACAA